AUAGCUCAGUGGUAGAGCACUUGCCUAGCAUGUGGAAGGCCCUGGGUUCAAUCCCCAGU
rnacentral:tRNA from 1 species